AUUGUGUUGUGAGGUUGUGAGUGGAUAUGUUUAUUGUGUGAAUCAUAAGUAUUAGUGUGGUGUGGGGCGAACAUGUUAAUGCUGACCCGUUGCGGAUGACCAUGCGACACAGUGUGUGAAAUGCUUUCCAAUGAUAGUUCAAGGUCCAGAAGUGAUAUACUUUGGAUGAAUAUCGAGUGAAGCAGACAGGAGGCAGCCAAACCACUCCACAACACUGCUGGGGAUCCCCCAAGGACUGUGGGCCAAACCACAUAAGUAUUGUUUUCAGGCCCCUUAAAGGUGGUGGAAGGUCAUUCCAGCAGUGUGUGGCUGCAAAUCUGAAACUACCCCUGAAAGCUGCAGUUUUGUGAGGUGGGACCCUAA